UAUAUAUAUAUAUAUAUA
rnacentral:misc_RNA from 2 species